UCGAACGACGUAAUGCAAUUACCGGUUCCGUCCGGCACUAGGGGUCGUCAUAUAUACGACAUGUACACGCUCUAUAUGGCCAAUUAGCUGCGCAGGAAGGUAAGGGCUGGCUGGCGAAGACAAACAGCAGAUUAAUGCCAAAUUGACCUAUUGGCCGUGAACUUUGCAUUUGGCAUGGUCAGGGUAAUACCACUUAAUUGGCAGUGGUCGGUAGUCGGUGGCAUUAAAAACUGUCAUUCAAUCGAUUCCAAUUAGAGCAGCUUUACCUGCGAUCCACCUGAGUGCAAUCUGCUGUCCGGCAAACGAUUUCCCUUUUGCCUUUUUAAUUAAUAACCGCCAAUCGUGGUCGGAGAUUUUCUCAAUUUCCGGAAUAAAGAAUGGGUAUAAAUAAUGCAGAAAGUAAUUACCGGGGAAAAUGACAAACGCAGGUUUUUCUUUGAUGGCAAUGAAGAAGGGCACAUUAAUUGAAUCUAACAAAUUCACUUAACAAAGCGCUAUUAAUAAGUAUACUGAAUAAUUCCAAUUUGAACUGACGACAAACUUCUGUGAUAUAUCACCACUCAAGUUAACUCAGUCGCAAAGUAUUAUUCAGAAAGUUCAAGUCCAAGGAGCUGGACUUGACACACAUGUGUGUGUACAUGUAUUUUCGGAUGUUUACCCAUAUUCCGGAUUCCAUACUCCAUGUAACACCACCCUGUCGAGUUCAUCGAAGCAAUUACAAAAAGUUUCGCUUGCCUAAACAUUCAAUAUACAGUGAAGCAUUGGAUGAGUGUUGUUGUCGAAAAUUUAAUAGU